UACAGAGGUCUCGAGCGUUAGGCGGAAUCACUGGGCUUAAAGCGUGUGUAGGUGGAUGCCUAAGUACCUUGUGAAAUCCCACAGCUUAACUGUGGAACUGCUUGGUAUACUGGGUGUCUUGAGUCACUCAGGGGCGAGCGGAACAAAUGGUGGAGCGGUGAAAUGCGUAGAUAUCGUUUGGAACGCCAAUGGUGAAAACAGGUCGCUGGGGAUGUGCCGACGCUGAGACACGAAAGCCAGGGGAGCAAACGGG
rnacentral:rRNA from 1 species